UUUCUGAUAUUUCCCACUCAUUUUUUUUCUCCUUUCCCCUUUAUUCUCUUUCACUAUUUUUUAUAUACCACCAAAGGAUUUUGUGAUCAAAUUCAGGGUCCCUUUGAUCAAUCCAUAAUUCUCCAGGUGUAUAUAGCGUCGUGUUUGUGGAUUUCUUUGUCUUGACCUCAGAAGUAACCCGUGUUCCCAGCCACCAGCCACCAUGGCAGUUAAUACCAUAUUCUUUGACUUCAACAAGACCUAGAUUUGAGACCAGGCUCGGCCCACUUGCUUGCUAUGUGUUUGAAUAAGUUUCUUAUCCUCUCAAAAAUGCAAAUUAAAAUUGCUGCAAGUAUUAAAUGCGAUAGAGGAGCUCAAGCACUUAGCUCACAGUAAGAGCUCACUAUGUCAGUGAGCAAUUCUUUGUCUUAUUACUAGAGUAAUAAUAAUAAAAUAGUAAAGUUGGUUUACCCACAUCUGAUUUAAAUGCAGCAUUUUGUCUCUGGUUUAAGGGUGGCAUCUACCUUUAGUGCUGUGACUUACUUUGGUGACCAUUCUGCAUGUGGCCUGUCCUGCCCAGGGGUUUUGGAUUUAUGGCUUUGGGAUUCCACUAAGGGGCCAAAGUCCUUCCAUCACAAAAAGGGCUAGUACCACAUCAUACUGGCUGGAGGCUGAGAGUCUGAAACCAGAUAGGGUUUCUCUCUAAAAUAAUGCUUCUCAAGGUGUAACCAACGAACCCCUUUUUCAGAAUUACUUAGGAGUGUUGAUUAAAUUACAGAUGCCUAAGGUCCUGCCCCAGGGCUUUUGAAGUAGACUCUUUUGUGGGGGUUCUGGGGUAAGAAGCCGCAUCGUAAUAAGCGCCCAUAUUAUCCUGAUGUGAACUAAAUAAAUUCUAGAACUGCUCCAGUGCAGUCUUCAAGUUUGCCUGGUUGUGGAAUGGCCUGGGGAUGCUUAAUAAAAAUAGAGGUUCCUGGGCCCCCCCACAUUUCCAGGGAGGUGUAUUUUUAAUAUGUAUCCCCAGGUGACUCUGAUGAUCUGGCGAAUGCUGGAAAUGCUGUUCUAGAAUGACUGGCCGGUGGCAUGUUUGGCGAUAGUGGUGGUAGCAUAAAUGGACAGAAGUAGUGAUAGGGAAAGGAUGGGGGUUUGAAUGAUCCAGAAAAUGACUUAGGUCAAGAGUUGAGGCCCCACUGCAAGGGCUCAUCUUUGCUUUUUAACAUCUCCGCCAUGUGUGAGAGUCUGUGUCCAGCCCCUUCCACACUGUUUGCGAAAGCAAAGCAAAGUCGAUUUGGGGAAAAUGAAUCGAAUGCAAGAGUGAACAGUGAAGCUCUUGGGCAAAACUAGCAACCCCACAUGAACAACUGUGGGACCGUGGGUAAAUGGAAAGAACGGCUGCUUAUCAUAACAGCCAUUCCUGGUUCUCUCUUACAGCCUGGUUGAAGUUCCCACCAUUAGUUUUUCCAUGAAUUACGUCCCUGCCUUAAGACAGUCUGGAUGUGGCUACCGGCUGAAAAAACCUACUCGUUACCACGAUGCUCUCGGGAUACCUCUCCUCUCCACGGUGCUCUCCUUACUCACAGCAAAGCUGGAAAAUACUUCUCUUAGUCUGCUGUCUACCCAGUGAUGGGAAGUCUGCUGUCUACCCUCCAAUCAGAGCAGAGUCUGCUUUCUUUCUGUCUUCAACUAAUGGUCACAUGGUAUCUAAUCUGUAAUUUCGCCCCCCAGUUACUUUGGAUCUGGGUCUACCGACCCAUGACAAUACUGUUUGCUCCUUUCCCUCUGGCAGGUAUUAGCUGUGAUCCUAUUGGGUAAUAGAACUUUGCAAUGAGGAAGAUUCUGAUAAGCAAGAGUCCUUCAUCUAUCUUGUUGUAUGACUUUCCAGCCAGCCGAAAUCUAAUGAUGAGGGCUUUCUCCUAGUGAGAUAUUGUAGUGGGUUCAACCAAAGGUAAAUAAGAUAAAGUCCCAACCCAGAAAGAAAUUCAAAUGAAGAGUGCGGUGACAUUCCAACGAAUGACAUAUCCAAAGGUCAGCCAUGCUAUGAAAAUAUAGGAGUCAGGAUAUUAAGAAGAGAAACCAUAGGGGAAUGUUGUAGUUGUGCUGUGUGUAUCUCUACCCUCACAGAAAACGAAAAUAUUAUCAGAAAAAAAACAUCGAUAAUGUGCAUUGUA